AUUUGAAAGACUCUCGGCAACGGAUAUCUCGGCUCUUGCAUCGAUGAAGAACGUAGCGAAAUGCGAUACUUGGUGUGAAUUGCAGAAUCCCGUGAACCAUCGAGUCUUUGAACGCAAGUUGCGCCCGAAGCCAUUAGGCUGAGGGCACGCCUGCCUGGGUGUCGCCCAUCGUUGCCCC
rnacentral:rRNA from 1 species